AUUCUGGCUCAGGAUGAACGCUGGCGGCGUGCUUAACACAUGCAAGUCGAACGGGAUCCAUCAGGCUUUGCUUGGUGGUGAGAGUGGCGAACGGGUGAGUAAUGCGUGACCGACCUGCCCCAUACACCGGAAUAGCUCCUGGAAACGGGUGGUAAUGCCGGAUGCUCCGACUCCUCGCAUGGGGUGUCGGGAAAGAUUAUAUCGGUAUGGGAUGGGGUCGCGUCCUAUCAGGUAGUCGGCGGGGUAACGGCCCACCGAGCCUACGACGGGUAGCCGGCCUGAGAGGGCGACCGGCCACAUUGGGACUGAGAUACGGCCCAGACUCCUACGGGAGGCAGCAGUGGGGAAUAUUGCACAAUGGGCGAAAGCCUGAUGCAGCGACGCCGCGUGAGCGAAGAAGUAUUUCGGUAUGUAAAGCUCUAUCAGCAGGGAAGAAAAUGACGGUACCUGACUAAGAAGCCCCGGCUAACUACGUGCCAGCAGCCGCGGUAAUACGUAGGGGGCAAGCGUUAUCCGGAUUUACUGGGUGUAAAGGGAGCGUAGACGGCGACGCAAGUCUGAAGUGAAAUACCCGGGCUCAACCUGGGAACUGCUUUGGAAACUGUGUUGCUAGAGUGCUGGAGAGGUAAGCGGAAUUCCUAGUGUAGCGGUGAAAUGCGUAGAUAUUAGGAAGAACACCAGUGGCGAAGGCGGCUUUCUGGACUGAAACUGACGCUGAGGCUCGAAAGCGUGGGGAGCGAACAGGAUUAGAUACCCUGGUAGUCCACGCCGUAAACGGUGGAUGCUGGAUGUGGGGCCCGUUCCACGGGUUCCGUGUCGGAGCUAACGCGUUAAGCAUCCCGCCUGGGGAGUACGGCCGCAAGGCUAAAACUCAAAGGAAUUGACGGGGGCCCGCACAAGCAGCGGAGCAUGUGGCUUAAUUCGAAGCAACGCGAAGAACCUUACCAGGGCUUGACAUAUGGGUGAAGCGGGGGAGACCCCGUGGCCGAGAGGAGCCCAUACAGGUGGUGCAUGGCUGUCGUCAGCUCGUGUCGUGAGAUGUUGGGUUAAGUCCCGCAACGAGCGCAACCCUCGCCCUGUGUUGCCAGCACGUCAUGGUGGGAACUCACGGGGGACCGCCGGGGUCAACUCGGAGGAAGGUGGGGAUGACGUCAGAUCAUCAUGCCCCUUACGUCCAGGGCUUCACGCAUGCUACAAUGGCCGGUACAACGGGAUGCGACACGGCGACGUGGAGCGGAUCCCUGAAAACCGGUCUCAGUUCGGAUUGGAGUCUGCAACCCGACUCCAUGAAGGCGGAGUCGCUAGUAAUCGCGGAUCAGCAACGCCGCGGUGAAUGCGUUCCCGGGCCUUGUACACACCGCCCGUCAAGUCAUGAAAGUGGGUAGCACCCGAAGCCGGUGGCCUAACCCUUCGUGGGAUGGAGCCGUCUAAGGUGAGACUCGUGAUUGGGACUAAGUCGUAACAAGGUAGCCGUACCGGAAGGUGCGGCUG
rnacentral:rRNA from 1 species